rnacentral:rRNA from 1 species
CACGUAGGGCGCAAGCGUCGUCCGGAAUUAUUGGGCGUAAAGAGCUCGUAGGCGGUCUGUUACGUCUGCUGUGAAAACCCGGGGCUUAACCCUGGGCUUGCAGUGGAUACGGGCAGACUAGAGGCAGGUAGGGGAGAAUGGAAUUCCCGGUGUAGCGGUGAAAUGCGCAGAUAUCGGGAGGAACACCGGUGGCGAAGGCGGUUCUCUGGGCCUGACCUGACGCUGAGGAGCGAAAGCGUGGGGAGCGAACAGG